rnacentral:rRNA from 1 species
CACGAAGGGGGCUAGCGUUGCUCGGAAUGACUGGGCGUAAAGGGCGCGUAGGCGGUUUGUACAGUCAGAUGUGAAAUUCCUGGGCUCAACCUGGGGGCUGCAUUUGAUACGUGCGGACUUGAGUGAGGAAGAGGGUCGUGGAAUUCCCAGUGUAGAGGUGAAAUUCGUAGAUAUUGGGAAGAACACCGGUGGCGAAGGCGGCGACCUGGUCCUUGACUGACGCUGAGGCGCGAAAGCGUGGGGAGCAAACAGG